CCGUCCGGCCGCGGCCCCGGGCAGCGCUGCGGCCGAGGGGGAAGGUCGGGCCGCCGGAGGAGCGCCGGGGCCUCCGCUUCCGCGGCUUCGGGGCCUCGGGGAGGGCCUCCCUCCUUUCAGCCCCGCUGCUCGUCGCCUCUCCCGGGAGUCUAGGGCCCCUUCCGGCUUCCCGAGGCCCGCCGCCGCCGCCGCCGCCGCCAUCUUCCGGAAGCGGAAGGGCUGGUAGGGCUGGUAGGGCCGGGCGGCCAUUGUCCUGGGGGCCGGGAGGCGGGCGGGCGCGGCCGCCGGAGGGCCGGGCCCCAGCUCCACCUGCUCGUCCCGCGUUCAGGACUCCGGGUAGCCGGGCGCCGACAGGGACGUGCUGGUGAAUCGAAGGCAGGAAUGCGCGCGAAGCCUUUAGAACAGAACCUGGCGUAAAAGUCCAGGAAAGGAAGCAUCCGGUAACUCAGAGUGAAUAAUACCUCAGACACCACAGCUCCCUCUGUGGAGUGAAAUCCUCUGAUCCCAGCGUCGGUUGAAGAAUUGGAAGUUCCUUACUCUAGAAGGUUUAACUUGUGUUCACGAAAACCAGAAUGGAAUGUUUUAAUGAUACGAAAACGUAAGCAAUAUAUAGUUUAAUGAAAUUAACACGUACAACAAUCUCAUUUUUGCAAGGCUAUGUGUAUGGAUAGGAUCAGAAGAUUAGUUUCCUCUAGGUCUUUUUUUUUUAUUUUUUAAGAUUUUAAUUCAUUUAUUCAUGAGAGACACAGAGAGAGAGGCAGAAGCAGGCUCCCUGCAAGGAGCCAGAUGUGGGACUCAAUCCCAGACCCUGGGAUCACGCCCUGAGCUGAAAGAUGCUCAACCACUGAGCCACCCAGUCGUCCUUCCUAUAGGUGUUUUUUAAAUGUUCCAUGAUGAUGUGUUCUUGGAAUAAUGGAAUGAAAAUGGAAAAAGUUAUUUUGUAAACUGUCUUUAUGAAGAUGCAUUAUAAGAGAUGUAGGUCUUUAUAAAUAGAGAUGGAUAAUUCUUUUAGCUAACUCCCAUUUUCAAAGAAAAUAAUGUCAGCUUGAUAAGUCAAGAAAUAGAAACAUUGAGAAAUCUCGAGUUACUGCUAAAAGAUGUUACAUCUUCAGACUGAGGUUAAAGAUGGGGUCUUGUUCCUUUUUAUUGUAAGCUCUUGGAUAUGGAUUUUUUCCCCCUUUUUAAUAUAUAUGCAUACUUUACUAAAUCUAACAGAUUAGAGAGAUGCCAGCGUGGCUCACUGGUUGAGCGCCUGACUUUGGCUCAGGUUGAGAUCCCGAUGUCCUAGGAUCAAGUCCCACAUCGGGCUUCCCAGAAGGAGCCUGCUUCUUCCUGGGCCUGAGCCUCUGCCUCUCUCUGUGUCUCAUGAAUAAAUAAAUAGAUUUUUUUAAAUAAAUAAAAGAUUAACAAUGGCACUGAGGUAUAUUUUAGUGCCUAUUUUCAUCUAGGUUAACAUAUUUUUUCCAAGUUUACGCUUUCCCUUGACCACUAGGCAGUUAGAGCAAACAAAUUAAACAACUAGCUAAAAGGUACUUUGAAUAACAGGAUCAAGUAGAAACACAUUAUGAAUUGCUUAAUGUAAAGCAUGAGUUGUUUUUUUUUUGUUGUUUUUUUAAUUGAGGGAAUGAAAACACAGCUUCCUAAUUAUCGUGAACUGCAUCAUACUCUUUUUGGAAUGGUCUUUUGGCUUCAAUCCAUUAACUGAUUAUAUAUCUUGUAGCACUGUGGGAACUGCAUGAAAACAAUUUCAAAGUCAGAGCUUUUGUAUUUGGCGCCCUCUAGUGUAGUAUUUUAAAUGACAAAAGACAGGUUACCCUUGGUAAGUAAGCUGCUAGCCAGAAGAUAGAAUGUGCCUUUCAGUCCACCCUGGGGGGGACCUGGCUGGCUUAGUCAGUAGAGCAUGUGAUUCUUGAUCUCAGGGUCAUGACUUUGAGCCCCACGUUGGGCACAGAGAUUAUUUUUAAAAUAAAAUAAAUUUCAUCCUA